rnacentral:tRNA from 1 species
GCCCGGCUGGUCGGGGCGGACGGCACGCUGUAUGCGCAUGCGACGACGACGUGCCUGGUGUUCGAGGUGCCGGCGGGGCG